rnacentral:tRNA from 1 species
UUGGUGGUUCAGUGGUAGAAUUCUCGCCUUCCAUGCGGGAGACCUGGGUUCUAUUUCCAGCCAA